rnacentral:rRNA from 1 species
AGAACGCUGGCGGCGUGCUUUAACACCUGCAAGUUUGAACGAACUUCGGGUUAGUGGCGGACGGGUUGAGUAACGCGUGAGAAUCUGCCUCAGGAGGGGGAUAACGGCUGGAAACGGCCGCUAAUACCCCAUAUGCCGCGAGGUGAAAUGAAUUUCGCCUGAGGAUGAGCUCGCGUCUGAUUAGCUAGUUGGUGGGGUAAGAGCCUACCAAGGCAUCGAUCAGUAGCUGGUCUGAGAGGAUGAUCAGCCACACUGGGACUGAGACACGGCCCAGACUCCUACGGGAGGCAGCAGUGGGGAAUUUUCCGCAAUGGGCUGAAAGCCUGACGGAGCAACGCCGCGUGAGGGAUGAAGGCCUCUGGGCUGUAAACCUCUUUUAUCAAAGGGAAAGAAGAUCUGACGGUACUUGAUGAAUAAGCCACGGCUAAUUCCGUGCCAGCAGCC